CUCGCCGUAGUUCAAUGGAUAGAACGAGUGCCUCCUAAGCGCUAGAUACAGGUUCGAUUCCUGUCGGCGGGACCA
rnacentral:tRNA from 21 species